UUGGAGUAAUUUUCAUCCAUCCGUACAGGGAUUGCUGGCCAUUCCUGGCAAGUGGUGACCCCGACGUGAUCACCUUGCAACAGACACCAUAUGGAUCCCGCCAAAAAAGUAAAGUUUGAACACAAUUGUUCACUUCCUUUGGUAUUUCUAGAACUCAACUGCAGGAAGACAACUAUGUUUGAGGAUGCCAGUAAAGCAAGUUCCAUGUUUCUGAGAAUCCUUCAUACUUCAAGUUCAAGUUGGGAACCACAUGGCAGCCAUUAUCUAGUUUAAAGAACAGUAGAUCAGCCUCUGGAGACCCAGAUUUCUUUCUGUCUCUGCCUAUAACUCACUGUGUGAACUCAGCUAAGGUGUGGUCAUGUGGCAAAAUUAUGGGCAAUGUGACACAAAUGGAAGAAACGUGUGCUAAGAAAGCUGCUUGCCGUCCGCUGCCCUCCUACCCACUCAUUUUUCCCUCCGGACUGGGAUGUGGGGUAGUCUCAGACCAAGAGAUGGAAGCCACAGAGAAAAGAGGACCAGGGAAGGAUCAACAGUUAUGAGAAAAACGAAGAGGAAAAAACUCUACUCACCACACCUGGAAAUGGAAGAUAUCUCUUUGUUCCUGUGUCCCAUUCCCCACCCCCACCACCAUAUCCUGUGGCUUAUUUGUGUUUUCCUUCUAUCAUCCACAACGGCUUUUUAAUUUUAUAUUGAGAGUAACCUAGGAAGAAGGCACUAAGUGAGAAAUCACUGCAAAAGUUCAAGAAGAGAACACAUAAUAAUGUCUUGGAUAUUAACUAAGAGAUGCUAAGCCUGAAAAAGAAUCUUGUCAAAUUAGGUAGUCAUGUCUACUUUAUCUCAUUGCACUAAAUUUCCUGUCAUGCUCAUUUGCAAUAGUGGUAUUUUUUUCUCUUGAGUCAUAAUGGCCUUACUUUUUUUUAUGAAUGCCUUGCCCAUAUGUGCCCUAUGGUUUCAGAAUACCUUUCAUUUUCAAGUUGUAGGGGGUAUGCCUUUAUGCAGAUCAUUUAUCCUCUGUAAGCCUCAGUAUUCUCCUUUGUAAAAUGACUGGAUAAUCUAUGAAAUCUCCUUUGAGUCCCAAAUUCAACAAUUUGAGUUCCCUUAUAAACAUAUUGAUUAAAGUCUGGUGACAACUGUAGCUACAAUGACAACAGAAUGACGAAGCAUAUUAACAUUAGUGUUAAUACAAUAAUCAGCUGUGUUGUAUUCCAUAUGGCAAUUUAUUUCAACAAUUAAGCCUGACUCCAUCUGUUUUGGCAUACACAAUUUUUUUUUUUUUUCAAAUGGGUUCCUGAACUACAUCUUUGGAAAUAAUUUUAUGUUUUUCAAAUAUUGCUACCAUCAAUAUACGAUGACUGUGUGGAAUCUUUCUGAUGAAAAAAACAAUCAUGGGGGCACCUGGGGGGCUCAGUGGGUUAAGCCGCUGCCUUCGGCUCAGGUCAUGAUCUCAGGGUCCUGGGAUCGAGUUCCGCAUCAGGCUCUCUGCCAGUGGGGAGCCUGCUUCCUCCUCUCUCUCUCUCUGCCUG